AUUGAACGCUGGCGGCAGGCCUAACACAUGCAAGUCGAGCGGAGCGGCGGAGGGGUGAGUAAUGCCUAGGAAUCUGCCUGGUAGUGGGGGAUAACGUCCGGAAACGGGCGCUAAUACCGCAUACUAUCAGAUGAGCCUAGGUCGGAUUAGCUAGGUGGGGGGGUAAAGGCCUACAAAGGCGACGAUCCGUACAGGGUCUGAGAGGAUGAUCAGUCACACUGGAACUGAGACACGGUCCAGACUCCUAGGGUAGGCAGCAGUGGGUAUUAUUGGACAAUGGGCGAAAGCCUGAGCCAGCCAUGCCGCGUGUGUGAAGAUGGUCUUCGGAUUGUAAAUCACUUUAAGUUGGGAGACGUUACCAACAGAAUAAGCACCGGCUAACUUCGUGCCAGCAGCCGCGGUAAUAC
rnacentral:rRNA from 1 species